rnacentral:rRNA from 1 species
CAGUCGCCGCGGUAAUACGAGGGGGGCAAGCGUUGUUCGGAAUUAUUGGGCGUAAAGCGUGCGUAGGCGGCUUCUUAAGUCGGAUGUGAAAUCCCUGAGCUUAACUUAGGAAUUGCAUUCGAUACUGGGAAGCUAGAGUAUGGGAGAGGAUGGUAGAAUUCCAGGUGUAGCGGUGAAAUGCGUAGAGAUCUGGAGGAAUACCGAUGGCGAAGGCAGCCAUCUGGCCUAAUACUGACGCUGAGGUACGAAAGCAUGGGGAGCAAACAGGAUUAGAUACCCCCGUAGUCCCUGUCUCUUAUAC